CCCUUAGAUGUUCUGGGCCGCACGCGUGCUACACUGAGUGGAUCAGCGGGUCAGGUUACGCGAGAGCGUUUCCUAAUCUUCAAAUCCGCUCGUGAUGGGGAUUGACGGUUGCAAUUUUCCGUCAUGAACGAGGAAUACCUUGUAAGCGCGGGUCAUCAUCCCGCGCUGAAUACGUCCCUGCCCUUUGUACACACCGCCCGUCGCUCCUACCGAUUGAGUGGUCCGGUGAGGCUUUGGGAUCUAAGCGAAAAGAGCGUUUCGCUCCUUUUGCUGGGAGAACUCAGUCGAACCUUAUCAUUGAGAGGAAGGAGAAGUCGUAACA
rnacentral:rRNA from 1 species